UGGGGAAUUUUGGACAAUGGGCGCAAGCCUGAUCCAGCCAUGCCGCGUGCAGGAAGAAGGCCUUCGGGUUGUAAACUGCUUUCGUACGGAACGAAAAGCCCUGGUUAAUACCUGGGGCUGAUGACGGUACCGUAAGAAUAAGCACCGGCUAACUACGUGCCAGCAGCCGCGGUAAUACGUAGGGUGCGAGCGUUAAUCGGAAUUACUGGGCGUAAAGCGUGCGCAGGCGGUUUUGUAAGACAGAGGUGAAAUCCCCGGGCUCAACCUGGGAACUGCCUUUGUGACUGCAAGGCUGGAGUGCGGCAGAGGGGGAUGGAAUUCCGCGUGUAGCAGUGAAAUGCGUAGAUAUGCGGAGGAACACCGAUGGCGAAGGCAAUCCCCUGGGCCUGCACUGACGCUCAUGCACGAAAGCGUGGGGAGCAAACAGGAUUAGAUACCCUGGUAGUCCACGCCCUAAACGAUGUCAACUGGUUGUUGGGUCCUAAUUGACUCGUAACGAAGCUAACGCGUGAAGUUGGACCGCCUGGGGGAGUACGGCCGCAAGGUUGAAACUCAAA
rnacentral:rRNA from 1 species